AGUGAGCACUGCUUCAGAACCUGCAGAGUCAGUACAGAGUCAACCAGAGGUGAAUGGAACUGAACUAAAUCUUUUAAUAUGAGAACUCAAACAUUUUUAACAUGUUUCAUGCAUCAUUUAUGCCAUGUUUAUAGUAUUGCAUUAGUGAGCACGAAGAUGUUGCAUUAAUCAGUGCAUGUACAAAUCGGGCGUAACUUAGAUUCAUUAGCCCCCUAAAUGAAGACCUGAGGAGCCCUGAAAGGGCCGGGCACACGGUACCAUAGGGUGCUGAAUGAAGACCUGAGGAGCUCCUUCGCGGGCCGGGCAAUGUGGGGGAAUUUUGAAUUAGUCCGUCUGAGAUUAUGUGAUUUACUUGUGUUGUGAUACAUUCAAUGUGAUCAUGUUUUCUAACAUGUUUUAUAUGUACUACUCACUGGGCUAGUAUAGCUCACCCCUCUCCCUUAACCCCAGUCUUGCAGGUUCAGAGUCCAGAGAGGUCAGCAGGGUACAGAUAAAGAGAAGAGUUAUGUAAUAGCUAGUGUGGACAUGUAAUUGUAAAAGAUAGUGAAUGUUGUAUAGAUGAUGCUUGACCAUAUGAGUUGUAAUCCAUUUUGUAUAUACAUGGUCGGU
rnacentral:lncRNA from 1 species